AGAGCUGUAGUCAAUGCUAGUCCUACUCAGAGCAGACCCUUUGAAAUGAAUGAGCAUGACUUUAGUUUCAUUAAUUUCAAUGGGUCUUCUCUGAGUAGGGCUAGCAUUGGCUACAACCCC